rnacentral:tRNA from 1 species
GGACUGUAGCUCAGUGGCAGAGCGCUUGCCUAGCAUGUGUGAGUUACUGGGUUCGAUCCCCAGUACCA